UAUGCGAUUACUGUUGUGAAUUGCAGAAUCCCGUGAACCAUCGAGUCUUUGAACGCAAGUUGCGCCUGAAGCCAUUAGGUUGAGGGCACGCCUGCCUGGGUGUCACACAUUGUCACCCCAAUGCAAAUGUGCAUUGAGGUGAAAGUUGGCUUCCCGCGAGGCAUUCCUCGUGGUUGGUUCAAAACGAAGUUAAUCGCGAAGUCCCUCGUCAUAAAUGGUGGAUGAGUAAAUCUCGAGACCAAUCGUGACUGUGGUGCUUUGGGGAUGUAAUUGGUUGGCUCUGUUGUGUUUUGUGUUCAUGUUGAAGAAGACGCUUUUAUCGAGACCUCAGGUCAGGCGGGGCUACCCGCUGAGUUUAAGCAUAUCAAUAAGCGGAGGAAAAGAAACUAACAAGGAUUCCCCUAGUAACGGCGAGCGAACCGGGAACAGCCCAUCAUGAGAAUCGAUCGCCUUCGGUGUUCGAAUUGUAGUCUGGAGAAAGCGUCAA
rnacentral:rRNA from 1 species